rnacentral:misc_RNA from 1 species
UUUCCGUAGGUGAACCUGCGGAAGGAUCAUUAUCGUAGGGGCCUCGCCCCCUUCGAGAUAGCACCCUUUGUUUAUGAGCACCUCUUGUUUCCUCGGCGGGUUCGCCCGCCAGAGGACCUACCUAAAACCCUUUGCAAUACCUGCAGUACUGUCUGAUAGCGAAAGCAAUUUAAAUCAAAACUUUCAACAACGGAUCUCUUGGUUCUGGCAUCGAUGAAGAACGCAGC